CUUCGCGGUUCCCACCAGAACCGGCUCAGUUUGCUCUCGACAGCAAAUAUUUAGCAAGAUGCUGCUUGGAGAGGGAUCAGCUGCUCCUGGUGAUUGCAGGCUGCUGCUGCAGACAUCUGUCCUCGCGCAAAUGAACCCUACCAAGGCUGUCUGAUGACCCAGAGAGAAAUUAGUCAAUUAAUACUCAGCAUCAUCACAAGGUAUGGGCACGAGCACCUUCUGCAGCACAAGCUGUAGCCAUGGAAAAGCAGCUGCCGGGUUUUACAAGCUGAAAUGGGAGCUGGUCUGCAACAAAGGAACUGUGUGUGGGUCCAGCACGCUGGCACAGGCGAGCAGCACCGUGCUGGGGCAGAUCCACAUUCGUGCUUUGCAUUUCUGCUGUGCAAAAUGGAGGUUUUUCUGGAUAUCAAGCAACAGUAGAGAAGUGGUCAGCACAUAAAAGUAUGGGAGAAGCAUGGGGAAAACUUUGCAGAUACAUUCGUAAAGCAAAACCCACUUUCCUGUCUUGGAGCUCCUGGAAAAUAAUUGUGGGAUGAUUUUCUUCAGCCUUCCCAUGUAAACCCAAUGACAGAAAGCCCCGUUUUGUGCAUUUCACCCUGGUCAAGCCUGUGAUGCAAUGUGAACUUUCACAAUUUCUGCCUCGAAGGAUGGUCUAAAUCUCAAGGCAACCAAGGAGUGAGGGAAAGCAUCACUGCAGUUCCAGAUCUGUGGCUCAGACCUCCAAAAUCCC
rnacentral:lncRNA from 1 species